rnacentral:tRNA from 1 species
GUGAGUAUAGCUCAGUUGGUAGAGCAUCAGAUUGUGGCUCUGAGGGUCGUGGGUUCAAUUCCCACUACUCACC